rnacentral:rRNA from 1 species
ACGGUGAGCCCAGCUUGCUGGGUGGAUCAGUGGCGAACGGGUGAGUAACACGUGAGCAACCUGCCCUCCACUUCGGGAUAAGCCUUGGAAACGGGGUCUAAUACCGGAUAUGAGCGCGCACCGCAUGGUGUGUGUUGGAAAGUUUUUCGGUGGGGGAUGGGCUCGCGGCCUAUCAGCUUGUUGGUGGGGUGAUGGCCUACCAAGGCGUCGACGGGUAGCCGGCCUGAGAGGGCGACCGGCCACACUGGGACUGAGACACGGCCCAGACUCCUACGGGAGGCAGCAGUGGGGAAUAUUGCACAAUGGGCGAAAGCCUGAUGCAGCGACGCCGCGUGAGGGAUGACGGCCUUCGGGUUGUAAACCUCUUUCAGCAGGGAAGAAGGCCUUCGGGUGGACGGUACCUGCAGAAGAAGCGCCGGCUAACUACGUGCCAGCAGCCGCGGUAAUACGUAGGGCGCAAGCGUUGUCCGGAAUUAUUGGGCGUAAAGAGCUCGUAGGCGGUUUGUCGCGUCUGGUGUGAAAACCUCAGGCUCAACCUGGGGCGUGCAUCGGGUACGGGCAGACUAGAGUGCGGUAGGGGAGACUGGAAUUCCUGGUGUAGCGGUGGAAUGCGCAGAUAUCAGGAGGAACACCGAUGGCGAAGGCAGGUCUCUGGGCCGCAACUGACGCUGAGGAGCGAAAGCAUGGGGAGCGAACAGGAUUAGAUACCCUGGUAGUCCAUGCCGUAAACGUUGGGCACUAGGUGUGGGGGCUCAUUCCACGAGUUCCGUGCCGCAGCUAACGCAUUAAGUUGCCCCGCC